rnacentral:rRNA from 1 species
UACGAAGGGGGCUAGCGUUGCUCGGAAUCACUGGGCGUAAAGCGCACGUAGGCGGACUCUUAAGUCAGGGGUGAAAUCCUGGAGCUCAACUCCAGAACUGCCCUUGAUACUGGGAGCCUUGAGUUCGGGAGAGGUGAGUGGAACUGCGAGUGAAGAGGUGAAAUUCGUAGAUAUUCGGAAGAACACCAGUGGCGAAGGCGACUCACUGGACACGUAUUGACGCUGAGGUGCGAAAGCGUGGGGAGCAAACAGG